GGGCGAAAGCCUGACGCAGCAACGCCGCGUGAGUGAUGAAGGCCUUCGGGUCGUAAAGCUCUUUCAGGAGGGACGAAACCGUUCCGGGAUAACAAACCGGAGCCUUGACGGUACCUUCAGAAGAAGCACCGGCUAACUCUGUGCCAGCAGCCGCGGUAAUACAGAGGGUGCAAGCGUUGUUCGGAAUUAUUGGGCGUAAAGCGCGUGUAGGCGGCAAGGCAUGUCGGGUGUGAAAGCCCUCGGCUUCACCGAGGAAGUGCGCCCGAAACUAUCUUGCUUGAGUACCGGAGAGGAUGGCGGAACUCCCGGUGUAGAGGUGAAAUUCGUAGAUAUCGGGAAGAACACCAGUGGCGAAGGCGGCCAUCUGGACGGAUACUGACGCUGAGACGCGAAAGCGUGGGGAGCAAACAGGAUUAGAUACCCUGGUAGUCCACGCCGUAAACGAUGGGCACUAGGUGUCGUGGGUGUUGACCCCCGCGGUGCCGUAGCUAACGCAUUAAGUGCCCCGCCUGGGAAGUA
rnacentral:rRNA from 1 species